rnacentral:misc_RNA from 1 species
UCUCCGUUGGUGAACCAGCGGAGGGAUCAUUACUGGAAUCGCAAGAUCCCACAACCCCUGUGAACCUACCGAAACGUUGCCUCGGCGGGCGCCCGGCCCCGCGCCGGGCGCUAAGCCCGCCGGCGGCCCCCUACUCUUGUCUCUGCAGCGUGGCAUCUCAGCGUCCCAGAAAACAAGUAAAAACUUUCAACAACGGAUCUCUUGGCUCUG